GCAAAACCCAUGUUUGGUGAUGUGCUGUCCCCUCGAAGUUGUGUGAGAGGAAGGGAGCAGUGGACGGAGAUGGAGGAGGGAAGCGCCGAGACGUCUCCACGCCGCCCCCGCUGCUGCUGCUGCUGCGCAGAGGGACGCUGCAACAGACCUGCAUAUGCUCAUGCAAGGAGGUGGUGUUACCCCCACAGUCCACGUACUGGUACAUCUCCUGGGAGACCUGCUCCGCGUGGCCGAAGUACGCCGUCGUCACCGUCACCCUGAAAAAUAACCAAGUCAUCAGUCAGACACUGUGCAUCAGACAAUGAGGCAGCAUUGCCCUCCACUUCUGCUGUCCGUGUGUUCUGAGAUUCCUCACCUGUACAGGAAACAACACCAACCUCUGGCUUUAACAGUUCCAACCUAAACAAGAGGAGAAUGGGUACGUCCAGACAUUUACCCCAGAGCGCUGUGGAGAAAGAGCUCUCUAUGCAAGACUGCAGGAACAUAGACAGUGCUUUAAACAGUGUCAUAAUUGUUUGGCUGGACAGCUACCUGUACAAUUCUGUUUCACUAUCUUUUCCAUUAGUCUUUUCAACCAUAUUGCAUUAAACCAACAGGGAGACUUGAAUAUUUAUUGGAACUGGCUGAAAUUGAAAUGCAUAAGAACCACAUACUGGUAAAUGUUGGAAAGUUAGAUUUCUGCUCAGUUCCUAAUUCACAAUGCUGAAGAUGUUCUGUUUGUUUGAGCAAAACUGCUGUAAGUGCUGCAAUCACUUCCUGCUAUCACUCCAAUUGCUGCAGUUCAUGUAGUAUUCCACAUGCCCCACACGUUUCCCAGCUUCCACCUGUGGGCUCCUAAUCAAAGAUAAACUGGGGCAAGUUUUCAUUGUCACACCUCAAUCAUGCCGUAUCUUUGUGGGGAGUGACAAGAUUUGUGCCCACGUGCUAAAUAACUCUACACAUAUCCUUCAUUCACAUAAUAAUCUCAGUUGGCUGAGUGGUAUACAUAUACAUUAAAAGAAAACACAUGAAUUUUGUCCACCAUUUUGUUUCGUCUGAGGCUUCACAAUCUCAUUUCAACCUUGUCAAGCUCCCUUUCAGCAACCCCUGGUGUCUCUUUUUAAGGAUGUGACAACAGGCACCAUACAGCCACAUCUCAGACUGGGAUUUUUGAACAUGGUCCAUCCAUAUCUCCUCUGGAACACUCACGAGGCUGUAAAUCAACCUUAUCCUUUACAAAUUACAUUCGUAGGCAUCAAAGUGAUUCUUAGCUGCCAUUUUCACAACAUGGUGUGAGGGUUACCACAUUGAUUUGGCAGUCUCCACUGUCAUCUGAUCCAUGUUACCACUACAAUCUAUAUAUUUAGAUGACAGCAUAGCCAAGACCCCAUCAACACCCCAACCUUUGUCCCAAAAACUGAGAUCCUGGCCUGUAGUUAAAUGCCUGCACACAGAGAGUGUUUUUUUAUCGCAAGUGGAGUUGAUUCAUGACUCUCACCCUUGGUAACCCCAGAGUAGCGGUGCGAUCAUCAUCCUCAUAAACACAAUUAAAAUAAAAUCCUAUCAAUACUAAACAUAUGUACACUCAUCUACCAAACCAGCAGAUUCACCUACCUAUUAAAUCUUUAGUCAACAAAGCAAAGACAGCUUUUAUUGCAUUUGUCAUAAAAUUCAUUAUUAGUUUAAACUUGACAAGAGAGACAAGCUCAUUCAGCUGUUAAUCAUAUUGCAGCAAGUUUUCAUGGAGGAGGAGAAUAACAGU